GACGAACGCUGGCGGCGUGCUUAACACAUGCAAGUCGAACGGAAAGACCCUGCUUUUGUUGGGUGCUCGAGUGGCGAACGGGUGAGUAACACGUGAGUAACCUGCCCUUGACUUUGGGAUAACUUCAGGAAACUGGGGCUAAUACCGGAUAGGAGCUCCUGCUGCAUGGUGGGGGUUGGAAAGUUUCGGCGGUUGGGGAUGGACUCGCGGCUUAUCAGCUUGUUGGUGGGGUAGUGGCUUACCAAGGCUUUGACGGGUAGCCGGCCUGAGAGGGUGACCGGAGACAUUGGGACUGAGAUACGGCCCAGACUCCUACGGGAGGCAGCAGUGGUGAAUAUUGCACAAUGGGCGGAAGCCUGAUGAAGCAACGCCGCGUGCGGGAUGACGGCCUUCGGGUUGUAAACCGCUUUCGCCUGUGACGAAGCGUGAGUGACGGUAAUGGGUAAAGAAGCAGCGGCUAACUACGUG
rnacentral:rRNA from 1 species